GGGAAUAUUGGACAAUGGGCGAAAGCCUGAUCCAGCAAUGCCGCGUGUGUGAAGAAGGUCUUCGGAUUGUAAAGCACUUUCGACGGGGACGAUGAUGACGGUACCCGUAGAAGAAGCCCCCGGCUAACUACGUGCCAG
rnacentral:rRNA from 1 species